CCCUUAGAUGUUCUGGGCUGCACGCGCGCUACACUGACGCACGCAACAGGUGCCUGCUCCGAGAGGACUGGGUAAUCAUUUGAGUGGGCGUCGUGAUGGGGAUAGAAUAUUGUAAUUAUUACUCUUCAACGAGGAAUUCCUAGUAAGCGCCAGUCAGCAGCUUGCGCUGAUUACGUCCCUGCCCUUUGUACACACCGCCCGUCGCUCCUACCGAUGGGUGAUCCGGUGAAUGAUUCGGACUUCAGCGGCUCCCCUGGGGUGCGCCGGAGAAAGUUUUGUGAACCUUAUCACUUGGAGGAAGGAGAAGUCGUAACA
rnacentral:rRNA from 1 species